GGCCCCAUGGCUCAGUGGCACAGCGCCUGUCUAGUAAACAGGAGAUCGUGGGUUCGAUCCCAACUGGAGCCU
rnacentral:tRNA from 1 species